rnacentral:rRNA from 1 species
GUGGGGAAUAUUGCACAAUGGGGGAAACCCUGAUGCAGCGACGCCGCGUGAGCGAAGAAGUAUUUCGGUAUGUAAAGCUCUAUCAGCAGGGAAGAAAAUGACGGUACCUGACUAAGAAGCUCCGGCUAACUACGUGCCAGCAGCCGCGGUAAUACGUAGGGGGCAAGCGUUAUCCGGAUUUACUGGGUGUAAAGGGAGCGUAGACGGCGAGGCAAGUCUGAUGUGAAAACCCGGGGCUCAACCCCGUGACUGCAUUGGAAACUGUUUUGCUUGAGUGCCGGAGAGGUAAGCGGAAUUCCUAGUGUAGCGGUGAAAUGCGUAGAUAUUAGGAGGAACACCAGUGGCGAAGGCGGCUUACUGGACGGUAACUGACGUUGAGGCUCGAAAGCGUGGGGAGCAAACAGGAUUAGAAACCCUGGUAGUCC